rfam:Triticum aestivum genome assembly, contig: Triticum_aestivum_CS42_TGACv1_scaffold_193661_3AL
GGAGAGAUGGCUGAGCCGUUCAAGGCGUAGCACUGGAACUGGUAUGUAGACUUUUGUUUACUGAGGGUUCGAAUCCCUCUCUUCUCA